GGCCCCGUGGCCAAGAGGAUUAAGGCGUUGCUCUCCUAAAGCAAAGAUCGCGAGUUCGAUCCUCGCCGGGGUCG